UACGAAGGGUGCAAGCGUUACUCGGAAUUACUGGGCGUAAAGCGUGCGUAGGUGGUUUGUUAAGUCUGUUGUGAAAGCCCCGGGCUCAACCUGGGAAUGGCAAUGGAUACUGGCAAGCUAGAGUGCGGUAGAGGGUAGUGGAAUUCCCGGUGUAGCGGUGAAAUGCGUAGAGAUCGGGAGGAACACCAGUGGCGAAGGCGGUUCUCUGGGCCUUACCUGACGCUGAGGAGCGAAAGCGUGGGGAGCGAACAGG
rnacentral:rRNA from 1 species